rnacentral:rRNA from 1 species
GACGAACGCUGGCGGCGUGCCUAACACAUGCAAGUCGAGCGAGAAUUUAUCGAUUGAUCCCCUUCGGGGUGAUUUUGAUGAAGGAAAGCGGCGGACGGGUGAGUAACGCGUGAGUAACCUGCCCAUAAGAGGGGGAUAAUCCUUGGAAACGGGGACUAAUACCGCAUAUUGAGCAUUUUCCGCAUGGUGAAUGUUUGAAAGAUUUAUCGCUUAUGGAUGGACUCGCGUCAGAUUAGAUAGUUGGUGAGGUAACGGCUCACCAAGUCGACGAUCUGUAGCCGAACUGAGAGGUUGAUCGGCCACAUUGGGACUGAGACACGGCCCAG